rnacentral:rRNA from 1 species
UACGGGGGGUGCGAGCGUUGUCCGGAUUCACUGGGCGUAAAGGGCGCGUAGGCGGCGCGGUAAGUCGGGUGUGAAAUCUUGGAGCUUAACUCCGAAACUGCAUUCGAUACUGCCAUGCUUGAGGACUGGAGAGGAGACUGGAAUUUACGGUGUAGCGGUGAAAUGCGUAGAUAUCGUAAGGAAGACCAGUGGCGAAGGCGGGUCUCUGGACAGUUCCGUGACGC